rnacentral:rRNA from 1 species
AAAUUGAAGAGUUUGAUCAUGGCUCAGAUUGAACGCUGGCGGCAGGCCUAACACAUGCAAGUCGAACGGUAACAGGAAACAGCUUGCUGUUUCGCUGACGAGUGGCGGACGGGUGAGUAAUGUCUGGGAAACUGCCUGAUGGAGGGGGAUAACUACUGGAAACGGUAGCUAAUACCGCAUAACGUCGCAAGACCAAAGAGGGGGACCUUCGGGCCUCUUGCCAUCGGAUGUGCCCAGAUGGGAUUAGCUAGUAGGUGGGGUAACGGCUCACCUAGGCGACGAUCCCUAGCUGGUCUGAGAGGAUGACCAGCCACACUGGAACUGAGACACGGUCCAGACUCCUACGGGAGGCAGCAGUGGGGAAUAUUGCACAAUGGGCGCAAGCCUGAUGCAGCCAUGCCGCGUGUAUGAAGAAGGCCUUCGGGUUGUAAAGUACUUUCAGCGGGGAGGAAGGGAGUAAAGUUAAUACCUUUGCUCAUUGACGUUACCCGCAGAAGAAGCACCGGCUAACUCCGUGCCAGCAGCCGCGGUAAUACGGAGGGUGCAAGCGUUAAUCGGAAUUACUGGGCGUAAAGCGCACGCAGGCGGUUUGUUAAGUCAGAUGUGAAAUCCCCGGGCUCAACCUGGGAACUGCAUCUGAUACUGGCAAGCUUGAGUCUCGUAGAGGGGUAGAAUUCCAGGUGUAGCGGUGAAAUGCGUAGAGAUCUGGAGGAAUACCGGUGGCGAAGGCGGCCCCCUGGACGAAGACUGACGCUCAGGUGCGAAAGCGUGGGGAGCAAACAGGAUUAGAUACCCUGGUAGUCCACGCCGUAAACGAUGUCGACUUGGAGGUUGUGCCCUUGAGGCGUGGCUUCCGGAGCUAACGCGUUAAGUCGACCGCCUGGGGAGUACGGCCGCAAGGUUAAAACUCAAAUGAAUUGACGGGGGCCCGCACAAGCGGUGGAGCAUGUGGUUUAAUUCGAUGCAACGCGAAGAACCUUACCUGGUCUUGACAUCCACAGAACUUUCCAGAGAUGGAUUGGUGCCUUCGGGAACUGUGAGACAGGUGCUGCAUGGCUGUCGUCAGCUCGUGUUGUGAAAUGUUGGGUUAAGUCCCGCAACGAGCGCAACCCUUAUCCUUUGUUGCCAGCGGUCCGGCCGGGAACUCAAAGGAGACUGCCAGUGAUAAACUGGAGGAAGGUGGGGAUGACGUCAAGUCAUCAUGGCCCUUACGACCAGGGCUACACACGUGCUACAAUGGCGCAUACAAAGAGAAGCGACCUCGCGAGAGCAAGCGGACCUCAUAAAGUGCGUCGUAGUCCGGAUUGGAGUCUGCAACUCGACUCCAUGAAGUCGGAAUCGCUAGUAAUCGUGGAUCAGAAUGCCACGGUGAAUACGUUCCCGGGCCUUGUACACACCGCCCGUCACACCAUGGGAGUGGGUUGCAAAAGAAGUAGGUAGCUUAACCUUCGGGAGGGCGCUUACCACUUUGUGAUUCAUGACUGGGGUGAAGUCGUAACAAGGUAACCGUAGGGGAACCUGCGGUUGGAUCACCUCCUUACCUUAAAGAAGC